rnacentral:rRNA from 1 species
CAGCUAGUUGGUAGGGUAACGGCCUACCAAGGCUUUGAUCGUUAGCUGGUCUGAGAGGAUGGCCAGCCACACUGGAACUGAGACACGGUCCAGACUCCUACGGGAGGCAGCAGUGGGGAAUCUUGCACAAUGGGCGAAAGCCUGAUGCAGCGACGCCGCGUGGGGGAUGAAGCAUUUCGGUGUGUAAACCCCUUUCGACUGGGACGAAUGCCUCGCAAGAGGAGUGACGGUACCAGUAGAAGAAGCCCCGGCUAACUACGUGCCAGCAGCCGCGGUAAGACGUAGGGGGCCAGCGUUGUUCGGAAUUACUGGGUGUAAAGGGUUCGUAGGCGGUGUGGCAAGUUGGGAGUGAAAUCUCUGGGCUCAACCCAGAGGCUGCUUCCAAAACUGCUGUGCUUGAGUGUGGGAGAGGCGCGUGGAAUUGCAGGUGUAGCGGUGAAAUGCGUAGAUAUCUGCAGGAACACCCGUGGCGAAAGCGGCGCGCUGGACCACAACUGACGCUGAGGAACGAAAGCUAGGGGAGCAAACAGGAUUAGAUACCCUGGUAGUCCUAGCCCUAAACGAUCAGGACUUGGGGUGCCGCCCGUUCGGGCGUCG